rnacentral:tRNA from 1 species
UUUCUUAAAGUAAUAUAUACAUUUAAUUUCGACUUAAAAACUUGUUUUAAUCAAAACUAAGAAAA